CUGGCUCCACAGCACAGAAUGAAGUAUUUUGCUACAGAUUAGUGAUUAUUUCUCAAGCAAGCCACAAAUGAGGACACAUUCCUGAAUGUAACUCUCCCAGUGACCACAGAAAGCUAUGAGAUCCCAACACUGAGCACUUUUUUUGGUGGAUGGAAUGUGCACUAAAUUUAGAAUCCAUGGCAAAAGCUGUCAAGAACCCUGAAGCCAACUGACUAAAGGUGCAAGUAUGUGUUUGCUUGCUUUCUACCAUCAGUCCUUCCUCCUUUCAGCUCAGCCUGCCAUUCUGGUAGCAAAGUCUGCAGGAGCUCAUGAAGAGGUCCAACGUGAUCAGGUGAAAAGACAGACCAAGCUGGUACAACAUGCUAAUAAAUUCCUUCUCUGAGGGAUCACUGAUGAGGCUGCCUGGAGGGACAAAAUACCCAACACCCUCAACUUAAAUGAGAAGAAUAUUAUGGCUUGUGGUUACAGUCCAUGGUCAGCUGGCUCCAAGGCAGAAACAGCAUGGUGGAAGGUCUGGUAGUAAAAGUCAACAAACAAUAAACAAAAUGCCUUUUAAAGAUCAUAAAGGGAUCCUGAAACCAAAAAGAUGAAAGAAAUGUUUUAAACUGAAAGAAGAGCCCCUCUUGCAGAGUGGACUUUGCCAGGUUAUAUAACCUUCCUCAGAAGAGGCUGAAGGAGGGAUGAAGAGGCCCUGAAGCCUCUGGGGGAAGGAGUAAGCAAGGCCUUUGGAAAAUGCAGGACCCUGGGAGAAAUCACCCCAGUAUGGGCUUUAUAGUCUCCUGCACCCAGUGAUGGCCAAGCUCACAAUUUCUCACCAGAAGAGUGAAGUGGGUCCAAAGAGUUGUAAUAGGACCAGAGCACUGCCUCACCAAAGCACUCAUGGAAUUCUUGCCCCAACCCAGGUGUCAUGGGGUUCUCCUGGGUCUGUGGACAGGCUGCAGGCAACCUGCUCUAUGGGGAUAUUAACACACUCUUUGCAUACAUUUAAAGGAACUUGUGUGCCUUGCUGGUGUCUGUCCAAGACUUCCUGUCAACUACAGCACCUGGUCAUCACCAGAGUCUGGAAACUCUAUCACAGAGCAAUUACAAAUCACAGCAGAAUAGUGUCAGAGAGUGACAUGAUUUUACCAGCAGGCUGUCCUCAGCCAGAACUUAAUUACCCUGGCCUUCAGAUGGGUCUCUUCAUAUCCCUGGGUUCCUCAUUUGGAAAAUAAAAAAGCCUGUUGGGAGAAGGUAAUUUUCAGGAAUGUCUUACUUAAGUAACAGCUCUGCAGACAGGAAGCACUGCCCAACAACUAACAAUAGGUAGCAUUUCAGAAGAAGAAGAUUCAGAGAAGAUCUGAUGGAGAAGCCAACAUCUGCAAAAAGGGAACACUCCUCCUCCCUUGCAGAACUCAUUGUGGGGGGAGAGAGAGAGAAGAUUUAUCAAAAUGAGAUAAGGGCAGACAGAGGAAACCCUGACUCAGAAGCUUCCAGUGACUCAGUUUUGAGAACAAGAAGCGUACUCAGUAUAGUUAAAAUUUCUGGAAAUUUCAAGCAGACCAAGAGAGAGCUAUCCAUCUUACACCACAGAGCACUAAUCUACAGAACUGAAAGUUUCCCCUGGAAAUAUGUGCUAAUAAGAGAUAUUGUCCCACAGUCCUCCUCUCUUCUGGCCUAUGUCUGCUAAGGAUACAAGGUCAUUUCCAGUGUGUCACUACCUCCUAAAUCUCAGUGAGCUGCUGUUAGGAGUUGGUGGUAUCCUAAUUAGGGACUCUGGAGAAACCCAUAACUCUGAAGUACUAUAGAACAGACACAUGGAAGGUAUACAACAGAAGGCUAGUAGGAAAGAAAGCCAGAAGCCUCCUGCCUGGGUAUUGUUUUCACCACUCAGUUUCUGACUUUUAGCAUGGAGCUUGACAUCUAGUAGGUGCUCAAUAAAUACUCCAUCAAUGAGUGAAGAUAGUCAUUAAAUUGGAUUUUACGUAAAAAGAAAAUAAUGGAAAUCAGAACAGUUGUGAGAAAGAGAAAGAGACUGAAGAGGAAGAAAGAUAGGCUUAGCAAUAUUUUUAUUAAUUUUCCAGGAUGAGACACAGCCUGGAGUUGCUGGAACAUAGCCCUGUGGCCACUUCUUCAGUCUUCUUUUGUGCCUUGGAAAGUAUUGUAAAUCAAUCUCUCUCUCUCUCUCUCUCUCUCCCUCCCUCCCUCUGUCUUUUUCUCUCCUUUAAAUGGUUCUCUUUAACCAUGUUUACAAAGUAGAAAGUACUAGGAGUGGAUUUGAAAGGAAUGCAAUGCAGCUAAUGAAUAACUCAAUCAAAUUAAAUGAAGAUUGUGUUUCACAGUUGAGAGGAAAUCGUCAGUUGAGUAAACAAUCCCUAUCUGAUUGGGAGAGAAACCAAGGGAUACACACACACACACACACACACACACACACACACACACACACACAGUGUGCCCAUCUUUUGGUUUUUGUUUUUGAGAAUUUCACCUACUUCAUUACUGUUGUGGGGAUCAAAUGAGAUCAGCAGAAGUGCUCACUGUGCGAUCUGUACAUAAUGAAUUUCCUCCCUACCAUUCCUCAGUCCAGUGGUGGUGAACCUAUAGCACAUGCUGGUUUUCUUUUAAUAAAAAAGAUGUUAAUGUAUGAGUUGUUUUUUCUAAACUAAAACCUAACUAGUAUUCAGGUUGAACUGCAGUCUUGGCACUUUGUGAUAAACAAGUAGAUUUUGGGUUGUAGUUUGGGCACUUGUCUCUAAAAGGUCCAUCAUUACUGCUUAGGUUGGAGUUGAGAGUGGAGUGACUACACACUUUAAAAUCUUGAGACAAUUUUGCAGCACAAUUUUAGGUGUAAAGAAAAAUUGCACAUAAAAAAAGUUCAGCGAGUUCCCAUAUAGUUCCUCUCCCUCACCCACAUCCUCUGUGCUAACACAUAACAUGAGUGUGGUCCAUGUGUUACAUCUGAUGACCGGUCAGGAUGUACUAUCAUUGACUGAUGUUUGUAGUUUCCAUUAGAGCUCACUGUUGGUGUACAUUUUAGAGGUUUUGACAAAUGCAUAAUGAUGUGUGUCCAUCAUUAUCAUACAGAAUACCAUAGUUUUGCCACCCUAAAAAUCCUCUGCUUCACCGUGUGUGUCUCUUUCCCAAGCCCCUGGUCAGCAUGGAUCAUUUCACUGUCUCUGUAGUGCUACCAGAAUGUCAUAUGGUUGAAAUCAUACUGUUAUGGUUUAGGUCACAUAUGAGCCUCCUGUGUGGCCAGGUGGGGCUUGGGGAAGGCAAGGUCAUGUCACUGGGGACAUGACCUAGAGAGAUGCAUUCCCUUCCAGCUUCUUCCUCCUCUCUCUGCCAUUUGGCUGUCAUAACAUGUGCAACUUUUGUACCCACCUCCUGGGCCCUCCACCCUGCCCCCAUCCAUGCAAGGACUGAAACUUCUAAAACAUGAGCCAAAAUAAACCCUUCCUCC
ensembl:lncRNA